rnacentral:rRNA from 1 species
ACUCCUACGGGAGGCAGCAGUGGGGAAUAUUGCACAAUGGGCGCAAGCCUGAUGCAGCCAUGCCGCGUGUAUGAAGAAGGCCUUCGGGUUGUAAAGUACUUUCAGCAGUGAGGAAGGCGGAGUCGUUAAUAGCGGCCUCGUUUGACGUUAGCUGCAGAAGAAGCACCGGCUAACUCCGUGCCAGCAGCCGCGGUAAUACGGAGGGUGCGAGCGUUAAUCGGAAUUACUGGGCGUAAAGCGCAUGCAGGUGGUUCGUUAAGUCAGAUGUGAAAGCCCGGGGCUCAACCUCGGAAUUGCAUUUGAAACUGGCAGACUAGAGUACUGUAGAGGGGGGUAGAAUUUCAGGUGUAGCGGUGAAAUGACGUAGAGAAUCUAGAAGGAAUACCGGUAGGCGAAGGCGGCCCCCUGGACAGAUACUGACACUCAGAUGCGAAAGCU